CGGCGGACGGGUGAGUGACGCGUGGGUAACCUACCCUGUACACACGGAUAACAUACCGAAAGGUAUGCUAAUACGGGAUAAUAUAUUUGAGAGGCAUCUCUUAAAUAUCAAAGGUGAGCCAGUACAGGAUGGACCCGCGUCUGAUUAGCUAGUUGGUAAGGUAACGGCUUACCAAGGCGACGAUCAGUAGCCGACCUGAGAGGGUGAUCGGCCACAUUGGAACUGAGACACGGUCCAA
rnacentral:rRNA from 1 species